rnacentral:rRNA from 1 species
UACGGAGGGUGCAAGCGUUAAUCGGAAUUACUGGGCGUAAAGCGCGCGUAGGCGGCUUUGCAAGUCGGGUGUGAAAUCCCCAGGCUUAACCUGGGAACUGCAUUCGAGACUGCAUUGCUAGAGUAUGGGAGAGGGAAGUGGAAUUUCAGGUGUAGCGGUGAAAUGCGUAGAUAUCUGAAGGAACAUCAGUGGCGAAAAGCGACUUCCUGGACCAAUCUGACGCUCAUGUGCGAAAAGCGUGGGGAGCAAACAGG